rnacentral:lncRNA from 1 species
UGGGUUGACCAGAGUAAAGAAAGAAUUAGGAAGCUAUUCAAUGAAGUUGACUAUUCUGUUUCUGCCUAUGAUACCGCCUGGGUAGCUAUGGUCCCUGAUCCACAUUCUUCCCAGGCUCCCCUUUUUCCCAAGUGCUUAAAUUGGUUAUUAGGUAGUCAGCUUCAUGAUGGCUCAUGGAGUCUUCCUCAUCACCAUCCCCUAUUGCUUAAAGAUGUUCUAUCCUCCACUCUUGCGUGCGUUCUUGCACUUAAGACAUGGGGGAUCGGUGAAGAACACAUCAAAAAGGGUAAUUUCUAACUGGCUUUUUCUUUUCUUUUUUUUUUGGGUGCAAAUCUGAAAUUUCUCAAGUAUAUAUGCCUCUAUGAACUUUCACUGGAUUGAUGCAAGUUCCACACUAAUAGGUGUUCGCUUUAUUGAGUUGAAUUUUGCUUUAGCAUAUGAGGAGUGCCAGUUUUCUCCAGUUGGAUUUGACAUAAUAUUUCCAGGCAUGCUUGAUCAUGCAAGAGAUUUGAGCUUAGGUUUUCAACUGGAACCCAAACUCUUAAAUGACUUGCUUCAUAAGAGGGAUAUGGAGCUUGGAAGGUACAUCUCUGUCAUGUUGUAUUGUAAUCUAAUUAUCUCUGGCUUCAUUUGACAAAAUCAUUUUUCUAGAUAUGCAUAGAGGUGUCAAAUAAGUGAUUUGAGUGGGCUUGGAUGGGUCCUAAUUGAGUAAUAGGUAUAAUUGGGUCAAUCCAUUUAUACUCAUUUAAAUAAAUGGGUACCCUUUUAUGUCCAUUUAAUAAAUGGGUAAAGGUAUAUCCAAUUACCUAUUUAUGAGUCACUUAAAAUUCUACUUUUUUUUUAAAAUUUUUCGUAUAUUAUUUAACAAGAAAUAAUGGUAUUUUAUUGUUAUUAAAUUGGUAAGAAAUUCAAAUUUAUUUGUUUAACACUCACUAAAAUUGAGUUUAAAUAUAUAAUUAUUUUUAAAUGGGUAUAAAUGGGUGAUCUGAGUCAACCCACUAUCUAUCAAUUAAACAGGUUUAAUUGGAUACCCAUUUAGGCCGAUUCAAAAUUAACGGGCAGGUUUGGACGGGUUUAGGUGAGUCAACAUAAUUAGGUUGUGAUUGAUACAUACAGUGGAGCCUAAUGGUGCUAUAUGAGUAAUUAUUAUAAUGUAAAGUUCUUUUGGAAGAAGUAGAAUAUCUAAGCUGUGAAUUGGAAUAAAGAGCCAAAGAGCAAUGCGGUAAUCCUUCCUAAAAUUUUGGACUAUUUUCACUUUGCACCCCUAACAUCUUCAAGCAUUCUUACUUUUCACACUUACAUUUGUUUUGAGAACUGCACCCAAAGUUUACCACAACAUCCCAAAUCACCAAAAAUAUUCACAAUGCAAAUAAAAGAAGGCAAAAAUUUAAUGGUGCAUGCAAUUUUCUUGAUUUUUGAUAGACUGAUGUCACUAUUAAUUCCACCCCAAGGAUGCACGUAUUUCAGGUGGAGUACUUGAAGAAUUUUCACCUACUUUUCUUAAUUAGUUUAUAUUAACUGGCGUGGUUUGAAACAAAUUGGUAAAUUGACGGUGCUAAGUGUUUACAAAAAUGUUUAAGGUGUGAAGUGGCAGUAAUUGGUAUCUUUGGGAGACAGAUUGACCAAUGUAUAUAUUUGAAAAGGUAGAUAGGAUGAAGAAUUUUUUAAGCAAAAUGAUUUUGCAAGAAGAAGUUGAAUCGAACAAUUAUGAAUGUUGAAGUAGUCAUUAUCAGGUCAAUCAAGUAGCAUGAUUGAUUAAUUUGGUCGGAAGAAUAAAUUAGUUUAAAAUUGGUUAUUUGUAGGGGCAAAAACUUGUGUAGAUUCGGUCUGCAACCCCACUCGUAGAUUGAGUAGUGUCAAAUUUGCCACAUCCUGUGGAAUUUAAAUGUUUAGAAAUCAUGGCAACACAUUGAUGACAGACUUUACUCAUCACUGGAUGGCACCUUACUCAUGCUGCCUUGAUUGAAACCUCAGCCCACCACCACCAACCUUCACCUUCAACGCUUGGAACCUCAAAACCCCACAUUCUUUAUCCUUAAUCUCCAUCAAAUCUGCUGCCAUUGUCAGCUUUGUUUUCUUCCAUGUCUUCUUCUCCUCUUUCCACAAAACAUAAGGUUGGGAUUCCAAAUUAUUUCUUAUCUACAUGGAUUUUCAAGAAAAUCCAAAUGUUAUUCCCAAUAUUUCAGAACAAAAUUUAAUCAGAAAUCAAAAGCAAAAGAAAAGAGAAAAUCAAGAUUGUGGCAUUGGAGGUUAUUUUUUUUCGGUUUGGAGAUCUUGCCAGGAAUGGAGAUGAGUUGGGAAAGAAGGUAGGAAGAAAGUUUAUUUGUACGUAUCUUGAUCUUUAUGGUAUCUCUAAUUUUUUGAUUUGUAUGGUUAGUAGCUCUUUUUUUGGUGCAAAGCUUUCCAUUUAUAUCUCUAAACACUCAAGUUUCAAGGCUGUGUAUUAGAGAUACCUAUGGAAUAUUGACCAGUUUAGGUGUCUCUCUCUCAUUUUUUUUUUUACACUGCUUGAAACUAUUGUGAGUUUAUCUGUUUAUGUCAUUAAAAUUGUAAAUUUGUAGUGGAACUCAAUUUUACUGUGGGGUGAAAGCUCCAAUAGGUUUGAUUCAAUCUACAAAAAGGACAAAGGAUUGAUUUUGGGUUUUUUGAAGUUUGAAUGUUGAGGACCAAACAAAGUGCCGGAGAUGAUUUUGGGGUUGGGGAAAGGGGGGAAGGAAGGGAGGCAGUAAGAUGUUUUGAUAAUGGUGGUGGCGGUAACCGGUGGAUGUGCAGGAGUGGUGGGAGUGGGAGAGGGAAGAAGGAGGCGAGGGGGGAAGUGAGGAAGGGGUUUGGAUAAUAUUGGUGGCAAUAAGCAGGUGGGCGUUUGCAGAAUCCUUGGGGAAGAGGAAGUGGGGAAGGCAUAGUUCUUAACUGGAGAGUGAUUGGUUCAUCAGGGUAUCAAUUCAAUCAGGGGUUGGAUAGUUCAAUCAUGAGUUGGACAAUAAUUAUAUUAUAUAAUAUAAUAAUAUAAUUUUAAAUUAUAAAAAUAAUAAAAUUUUGAAUUGAUGGUUUAAUCAACAGUUCAAUCGAUGGGUUUUUUUCAAAUCAUCAGUUGAACUGUUGAAUCGUUGAUUAGUCAAUAGGUUUGUUGUUUGAUUAAUCUAAUUAAUGACCCAGUUCGGUCUUAUGACUAGUUCAUUGAGUUGAUCGGUUCAAUCGUCAAGUUGGGCCGAAUUUUAUAACUGUGGGAGAAGGGAUGUUCACGAUGGUGGUGGACAGGAGGCGGUCAUUAGGUGGCAGUGGAAGGUAGGUGCGGAGGAAUUGCGCUGAGGACAUUGUGAAAGUUGAGAAAGUGAGACAUCUUGGACUAAAAAAAUCACAGGAUGAUGUGGCAUUAUUCAUACCACUCGAUCUACGCGGUGGGCCUGUCAAGUUUUUGCCAUUUAUAGGGGCUAUUCUCAAUUAGUUUAUGUGUGGUUUUAUGGUUUCAUUAAACAAAUAAUUUGUGCAGCAACUUAAAUUUUGUAAUAUUAGUAGCAUUAUAACACUAAGAAUCUCAAAGAUAGGAUGUUCAUUGUAGUAAAAUAAAUAAAUAAAUAAGGACACAUGUGAUUCAUAAUUUGCCUCUAAGCCCCUAAAGUAUCUAUCUUUUCUUUGUUGCUCUAAUCAUUUAGAAUCCGUGAGAGCCACUCAAAGAAGAGUGAGGCAUUCUUGGCAUAUGUAUCCGAAGGAUUGUUAAAGUUACAAAAUUGGGAUAUGGCCAUGAAAUUUCAAAGGAAGAAUGGAUCACUCUUCAAUUCACCUUCAGCAACUGCAGCUGCUGCUAUUAAUGUCCGAAAUCCGAGUUGCCUGAAUUACCUUUAUUCGGUUAUUGACAAGUUUGGCCCUGCAGGUCUCUUUAUUUUCAAUGUACCCAAAUUGAUACUUACAUAGCUAUCUUAUGCUUCCUUACUGCUGCUGCUGCUUCUUUUUGUUGCUUUUUUCAGUCCCAGCAGUUUACCCUUUGGAUAUAUAUGCACGCCUUUGCCUGGUUGACAAUCUUGAGAAGAUGGGUAUUUCUCAAUAUUUUACGAAUGAAAUUCAGUGUGUAUUGGAUGACACAUACAGGUAAUCUUCUGAUCUAAAAUUAUGGGGCAUAAUUAAUAAACUUGCUUGGCUUAAUUUUUUUUUUUUUUUACCAAAUAGGGUAAUGAACCUUAAAUUAAAAGUUCACAAUUGCAUGUGGUUUCACAAGUCAAUAUCUUAGUUAAUAUCAUUCCAAUGCUAUCUUAGGCCAACACUUGCUCAAAACAUGAAUUGCAUGCAUUAAAUAUCUAGAAGCAAGUUGUCGAUGGAUUUUUCUUGAUUGGUUCAACUUAUUGACAAUUAAUAACAUCCACAAAAAAAAAAGAUGCUGGCUGCAGGGUGAGGAAGAUAUAUUUGCAGAAACAUCGCACUGUGCCCUGGCCUUCAGGUUAUUACGAAAGCAUGGUUAUGAUAUCUCCUCAGGUAACUGCUAAAGCGUUUGCACAUUUUGCUAAAUACUGGUGUGUUUUGCAGCCCCAAUGUCUUGCAUAAUUCCCACUUAGCACCAUCCAAUUUUGUUAUUGACGCCAUGAACCCAAACUUAUUAAAAAGUUCCUUGUCACCUCAAAGGCUUGCAUUUUUAGUGAUGGUAGACCAAACCGUUCUUGGUCACUCUUUUUCUUUUUGUUUUUUGGAUGAAAUUAGUAUAGACUGAAGACAAUAUUUAGCAUUGAGAAGGAAAGGUUUUGUUGUAUACCAGUGUUAUUUAUAUGUUAGCUUUAAUUGCAUGUGAGAUUAUGGUAAUUUCUUGAUUUUAAAACUUAGCCUGAACUGUCCAGUCGAACCAAUCAAACCAUUAACUGGGCUGCUUUUUGUUAUGCUUCAAAUUUGGAUGGGUUGAAAAAUCUAUCUAAAUUUUGAAAUCCAAUCGAACUGUCCAGUUGGACUAGUGAUCCAUCAAACCUUGAUUAUUUUUACUAAAUCAUUAUGGUUCGUGGUCUAAUCCAUUGUUGUUGGCUCUUAAAUACAAACAAGUAGGUCCUGUGCAUUAAAUGCAAGGAUGAGAGGGACAGGUUGUGGAGCAUUUAUACAUGUUGUCCGUAUCACUUUGGUAUUAAAUCCUCUAAUUCUUUUAAAUUUCCAAAUCUAUCCCUUUUUUUUGUUUAUUGUCCCAUUUCAUUUUUCUAAAAUUAUACUUUUAGCUUUAAAUGGUUUACAAAAUUUUGAAUUACUGAUGUGAUUUCAUGUUUCUUAUCCUCAUAACCAUUGUAAAUUUGAUAAAUGAAGAAUCAAAGCACUUCAUUUUCUUUCUUUUUUUAAAGGAAUUUAAUUUCUAAUUUAAUCGAUUGGCCAAAUAUGUAUAGAGAGGUUAUCAAUGGACUGUAUGAUAACAUAAGUAACAACUCGCCCAUUUAUUAUAUAUUUAUGAUGUGACGAGUUGGUAAUAAUUCAUUAAUGGUAAGCCCAAUGAUUUUGAACAUAGUGACCCUUGUUCCAGUAAAUUUGUGGUUGAGUUUCAAACCUUGGGUAAUUUGGCUUGAAUAUAUUUAAUUGGUAACUUUGAUGUGUAUAAUGUCCAAGAUAAAAGUUUGAGAUGCAAUGUUGUAGUAUUUGGUAACUUUAGGGUGCAAAGUGCCAAAAAAUGUUAAUGAUGCAAAUUAGAAUGACUAAAAACAUUAAGCGUGCAUAAUGAAAUUAGAUUUUUCAGUAAUUCAAGUAUCUUUUGCGUGUGCCCAUAAAUGAUAAGAAAAGAUAAAAAGGUUCUUGAUUCGAUUUUGUAGAUCCAUUAAUUGGUAUCCUGGAAGAUGAAAGCGCUUCCAGUUAUUGUUGUAAUGGAUCCUGGAACGAAGUAAAUGCUUUAGUGGAAGUAUAUCAGGCAUCACAGAUGGCAGUCCAUGAAAAUGAAUCAGCUCUAGAGAAACAAAAUUUAUUAUCGAAGCACCUCCUGAGGCAGCAUAUUUUCAAUGGCUGUGAUUCGAAGGGAUUCCCUAACCAAAUCUUCCAACAGGUAAUUCUCCUUAUAUUUAUAUUACCACAGCCUAUUUGAUGUUCUAGAAAUUUAGGACUAAUAUCACUAUGAUCACUUAAAAGUGCUCUGUUAGUUCUCAUUUUGCAUCCCAAUAUUUUAGUUUGAAAAUUUUGCAUCCUAAAAUUUUAGAUGUAUUUCGGUUUGUCCAAAUUGUCUAUAUUCAAAUGAAAUUGACAAUGAUCAUACGUUACAAUCUUUCCAUUUAUGGCAAUUGUGGCCAAUUGGUCGAAUUAUAGAAGUCCAUUGCAUGUUUCACAUGGAGUGAUAAUAAAGUUUUGUUGAUUCCAUUGCGACUAGUGAAAAUUCGGGAAAAAUGAGCAGUGUCCAAACUUGACGACUCAGAGUAUCUAAAGCAAAAAUUGGAGGUGCAGUGAGAAAAUGUCAUAAGUUUUAGGUUCCAACUAUUAUUUUUUAAUAAAAUUUAGGACUGGCAUCCUACCUGACCCUUACAUGGAGUUUUCCCAAAAAAAAAAUGUCAAAAACUUUAUUGUUGUAUAGUGGAAGCAACCAUUAUGUGAAGACGUCGUAGGCAAAUGCCAGAUUGCAGCUAUCUUCCUCGAACAGAGGGGAGCUCUGAGGAAAAAGGGAGCAACUUAACCCACCUAGUCUUGCCUUUAGAAAGGAGGAAAGAUCGGAUACUGUGGCAGUUUAGAUAGUUAAAUAGGACUGGCAUCCUCUCUGACCCUUACAUGGAGUUUUUCCACAAAAAAAAAAAAGUAAAAAACUUCUUGUUGUAAAGUGGAAGCAACCUAUUAUGUGAAGACCUCGUAGGCGAAUGCCAGAUUGCAGCUAUCUUCCUGAAACUGCCUUUAGAAAGGAAUGCAGGAAAGAUCGGAUACCGUGGCAGUUUAGAUAGUUGAAUAGGAGUGGCAUCCUCCCUGACGCUUACAUGGAGUUUUCCCAAAAAAAAAAAAAGUCAAAAACUUUAUUGUUGUAAAGUGGAAGCAACCUAUUAUGUGAAGACCUCAUAGGCGAAUGCCAAAUUGCAGCUAUAUUCCUCAUAUGGAAAAAAAUCAAAAACUUUAUUGUUGUAAAGUGAAAGCAACCUAUUGUGUGAAGACCUCAUAGGCUAAUGCUAGAUGGCAAUUAUCUUCCUCAAACGGAGGGGGAGCUUAGAGGAAAAAGGGAGCAACUUAAUCCACCCAGUCCUGCCUUUGGAAAGGAAUGCAGGAAAAAUCAGAUACUGCAGCAGUUUAGAUAGUUGAAUAGGCCUGGCAUCCUCCCUGACACUUACACGGAGUUUUUCCAAAAAAAAAAAAAGUCAACUUUAUUGUUGUGAAGUGGAAGCAACUUAUUAUGUGAAGACCUCAUAGGCAAAUGCCAGAUUGCAGCUAUCUUCCUCAAACAGAGGGGGAGGUCAGAGGAAAAAGGGAGCGACUUAACCCACCCAGUCCUGCCUUUUAAAAGGAAUGCAGGAAAGAUCGGAUACUGUGGCAGUUUAGAUGGUUGAAUUCCAAAAAAAAAAAAAAAAAGUCAAACUUUAUUGUUGUGAAGCGGAAGCAACUUAUUAUGUGAAGUCCUCAUAGGCAAAUGCCAGAUUGCAGCUAUCUUCCUCAAACAGAGGGGGAGGUCAGAGGAAAAAGGGAGUGACUUUACCCACCCAGCCCUGCCUUUCAGGAAAGAUCGGAUACUGUGGCAGUUUAGAUAGUUGAAUUCCAAAAAAAAAAAAAGAAGUCAAACUUUAUUGUUGUGAAGUGGAAGCAACCUAUUAUGUGAAGACCUCAUAGGCAAAUGCAGAUUGAAGUGGAAGCAACCUAUUAUGUCAAACUUUAUUGUUGCAGUAGUUUAGAUAGUUGAAUAGGAUGCCGUCCCCCAAGAGGCUGGUGCCACGGAGUCUGCCAUCGCUUCAAAGGAUACUACUACUAAAUAAGAUGAUGUUGGCCAACCUCCUUAGCCGAAUCAGUCUCUGUUGCUUAAUUUACAGACUCCAUGUACUCACUUGAAAUGAAGCCAAACAAACUUCUGGAAUUGUCAAUUUCAUUUUCAGGUUGAAUAUCUUCUCAAGUUUCCAUCCCCAUUAAUUUUGCCACGGGUUGAGAUCAGGAAGAACAUAGAGCAUUACAACGUGGAUAGUGGAAGAAUUCUGAAAACUUUAUACCGGUAAACUUCUGGUCCUUUAUUUUAUAGAAAAAGCAUGUUUGCUCUUGUUAGCUAUAGUUUUUAAGUUUUUAUCCUUCCUUAAUUCAAGUAUUGUUAAUUAUGUUCUUAACCAUCCGUCAGCUCGUCAAAUUUUGGCAAUGAAGAUUUGUUAAGGUUGGCAGUCAGAGAUUUUAAUCACUGCCAACUCAUUCACCGCAAUGAACUGGAAGAAAUAGAAAGGUAUGUGGAAGAUUUGAACAUAUUAGCACUAUUUUGCCUUGCUUUUAUCAUGGUGAAUUAAUUUGUGAGUGAUUCUAGUGAAUGAUUGCACACCAAAACAAAUGAGUGAAUUGAAAAAUGUACACUGGUCGGGAAAAGUGAUGCAAUUUGAAAAUUUUGAACCAUGAACCACCAUGAUUAAAAAACUUUGUGAUGGACAAAUUUUUCAAAUAAAAUUCUUAUGUAUAAUGUGCUCAAAAUUUCUACCUUUCUAUACGUGUUCUUUGGACACUUUAGUUAAUUGCUUGAUCAACCACAUAGCGAUUCAAUAUGAAUUUAUUGACCACUUAUUGAUCCUAUGUUUGUACCCCAGUAUGUCCUUAGAAUUGUUAAAAUGUUAUACAAUGACCAAAUCAUGAAUAUCAGAUUAAAGAUUACAAAAAUUUGCCUGCUAGGGCAGUUUGAACUUUGAUAAUUCUUGGCAAAUUUUUCCUGGUGAAUUUGGAUAAAAAAAUCGGGGUACAUAUCAACGCGAGUAUGGGUAAAAAGUUAAUUCUACCCUUAUCGGAAAUUAAACAAAAAGUUCACCAUUUGCCAAGAAAAAGAGAGAGAGUGAAAUAGAGUUGGCAAAUUUGUGCGGUCCAGAAUUAGAAAAAAGAGAGAUAUCAAAAGAAAUAGGGGUACAUAUCAAUGCCGAGUAUGGGUAAAAAGAGAGAGAUCAAAAGAAAUAAUUUGUGCGGUCCAGAAUUAGAAAAAAAAAAUAGAGUUUGUAUACCAAAUUUUGUAAAAAAUGUACAAUGAUAGCGUCAAUUACAUCAAAAGCAAACUGUACCUGUCCCAAUUUCCUCAGCAGACAAGUUCAAUCAUGUGAUAUACAUGCCUAUAAUUAAUUGCUUGCACACGAAAUUCCAUUUGUUAUAUAAAUGAAUUGGUUGUAUUCAUUCAAAUCCAUUUUACUUCUCUUUCUCCACAGGUGGUAUACGCAGAAUAGAUUGCACGAACUGAAGUUUACAAGACACAAGGCUAUAUAUGGCUUCUUUUCUGCUGCAGCAACCAUAUUCUCACCUGAACUAUAUGAAGCCCGCAUGUCAUGGGCCAAAAAUUGUGUACUGACUACAGUGACUGAUGACUUCUUUGAUGUGGGAGGUUCUGAGGAGGAACUAAGAAACCUUAUUGAUUUACUUGAACGGUGAGUCUCUUUGAUCCUCUUCUCACUAUUCUGAAAUCUGAACAUUCUUAGCCCCUAUACUAUGUAUAUAAUUUCCUAAGUAAUAAGAUAAUGUCUGCAAACUACAGGUGGGAUGUGAAUAUCAGCAGUGAUUAUUGCUCAGAUAUCAGCAGUGAUUGUAGCUCAGAGAAUGUCCAAAUCGUAUUUUCAGCACUGCGUAGUACCAUCUCUGAGACUGGAGAGAAAGCAAGCAUAUUGCAGGGACGCAAUGUAACAAGCCACACGAAAGAGAUUGUGAGAUGUCUACUUCUUUCAUCUUCUUGCUAUUGUACUCUGAUGUAUGCGUAUGGGUUAUCCAGUUCGCUCUCUAUAAUAUAUGAUGACGAUUCUUUAAAUGGUUUAUUACAGUGGCUAGAAUUGUUCUACGGAUUUUUUAGGGAGUUUGAAUGGACUAGAGACAAGACGGUGCCAACAUUGGAUGAAUAUAUGGCAAAUGGUUAUGUAUCAUUCGCCCUGGGGCCGAUACUGUUCCCUGCCAUUUAUCUUCGGGGGCCAAAGCUAUCAGAAGAAGUUGCUCGACAUCCUGAAAUGCGGUCCCUUUAUAAGCAUGUUAGCACUUGUGGUCGGCUUCUUAAUGAUAUGCGCGGCUUUGAGGUAUAAGAUAUUUCUUCAUUGAUUUUUGCCGUACGUUCUUAUUAAUUGUGUUUAUCUGCCAUCCUUCAAUUUUGAACCGAUUCUUAUUGAUAAUAUCACGCAGAGGGAAAGAAAGGAAGGAAAACUAAAUUCUGUGACUCUACGACUGAGUCCAGAUGGUACGGUUAGUGAAGCAGCUGCAAUUGAAGAGGUGAAAUUGCUGAUAGAAAAUGAAAGGAGGAGACUGCUAAGAUUGGUUGUGCAGAAGGAUGGUAGUGUAGUUCCAAGAGCUUGCAAGGACAUGUUUUGGAAUCUAAGCAGAAUACUACAUCAAUUUUACUUCAACAAUGAUGGAUUUACAUCAGAAGUGGAGAUGGUUGAUCUCGUAAAAGCAAUUAUUCAUAAGCCAAUACCUUUGGAGGAUUUUGAAUAGCUUCUCUAAGGAUCAAACGAGUCCGGUUAUGGGAGGAGGUGAUGAUUGUUAGACACCCGCAAAUGGAGAUCCAAAUAACUAGGUUUUGAAAUUUGCCGUCUCGUGUACAGGUUUUUCAGUGUAGCUUCUCCAAAUAAGUAGGGCCAAGCUGCGUGUAUCCCUGGACUAGAGUGGGCUCGACACAGCUCGGGUUUAAACGUUGGACCGACAUUAAUCUUUAAUAAAGUUCAAUUCGAUUAACGCCCAAUCUAGAUAAUUAUAUAUGUUGGUAUAUAUAUAUAUAUAUAUAUAUAUAUAUAUAUCAUUGAUAUAGUACGUAUAUCAUAUAUUUAAAUUAAUGGUUUGUCUAGUAUAGGGUACUUGUUAAAAUAUAUUUCAGGUGUUGUAUUUUUGAAAAUAUAAGAUUAAUUUAAUUAGAAAAAUUAAAUAUAGAAAAUAUAUAAAUAUAAAAGAGGAUAAUAAUUAUUAGUAUGCUUUUAUAUAUGAUAGAUUAGGUGAAUAUUAAAUAUGUUAAUAAAUGUCUUAAGAUUACCUAUUAGAAAAAUUUUUAAAUUAAUUAUAUAUCUUAUUAUAUAUGCUAUUUAUAAGUCAUAUUUAAAUGUAUAAUAUUACAUAUUAGUCUCUCUAUCCUACUCUUAUUGUAAUAGUUUUCCCUUUUAACUAUUUCAAAAUUUGAAUUCGGCUACAAUUGUUCUGCUGACAUUCUUGUCUUACCCUUGAAAAGAGAUAAUGUAGAAUAGUUAAAAAUAUUUUAUUGGUUCCAUAAAAGUGCUUUUAUUGAGAGAAAAGACUAAGGGGCGCUUGGUUCUUGCUUUGGAAUUGGAAAUGGAAUAAUUCCUAGAGGGUUCACCAACGAGGGUUUUGGUCAAUUCCUCUCAAUUUGGUCGGGAAUCAUGAAUGGCUAAAUUUUAAGGCAUGAUUCCAAUAUUUCAAUUUCCAUUGCAUUGGACCAAGCGCGCAAUAUUGGAAUUAUUGUAAUUCAAAAUACCAAAACUCCCAAACCAAGCGACCGUAAGUGUCCAAGGCACUGCAAAUUUUUGCGGUUAGAUUCCAUGUGCUUCUCACCUCCCUUAAAAUGAGUUUGAAAUGAUGUGGGACUCGUGGAAUCUUUUCUCACAAGAAGGCUAACACCAUAUGAUUUUUCAUAAGGUAAAGGGGCAAAGGUGAAACAAGCAUAUGAAAUUCGAACUUGUUUCAACUAUAUGUAAAAAGUUGGGAAUUCAAAAAGUGUCCCUUAUAUUGGGACAUAGUGAGUAUCAUAAUAUAUAUAUAUAUAUAUAUAUAUAUAUAUGUAUAUAUAUGGCUUCAUGAAGUUCGUUUUUGGUCCAAUUUUAAUGGAGCAACGGAAACUUUUAUCAUAUUGGACAUAUAACGGGGGAUACUUGAAAUUUUGAGAAUGGAGAUAAAGAUUCUCUGCAAGUUUCUAUUAAAGAGUCGAAAAGAAGUGUAAGAAGCCAAUUACCGCAAAGCAUUUGUGAACGACGGGAUUGUGAUGAGAAAGAUGUAAGAAAAAGCCACAAACGAUGUAGGAGACAUAUGAAUUAUAAUGUAUUUUCAUACAACAAAAGUUAUGGAUAGAAAGGUUAUAGAUUGAUUGCUAAUAUCAUUUGCAGUGUAUAUAUAAUUACUUAUCAUGUGAGUUCGGACUAAACUUGAAGUAGGCACAAAAUUCUUUAGUUUUGUAAGUCAAGUAUGAAUCUCACUAUAGAACCUAAAGCUCAAAAUUAGAAAGUUUAAAGGGAUAAUAUAAAAAACCUCUCCUAAGGUUUCUCUUAAUAUCACCUAGCGCUCCAAAUGUUUUAAAAAUAUCACUUGCCUCCCUUCAUUUUGUUAUUUGUGUAACAAAAAUUUUAAAAACCCUAAACUACCCUUUUACUUGCUAAAUGAAAAUACUCCAAUGUCACUUUGUUUACUUGAAGAAAACUAUUACUUAAAAAAAUAAUCUCUAGUAGUACUACCAAAAUGUCACAAUACUAUAGUCCAAAAAUAUAUAUAUAUAUUUAAAAAAAUAAAAAGAUACUAACAAAGAAAUAUAUUAGCACCAAUUUAACUCUAUAUGCUCAAAAUAAAUUUCUUAUGAACUAUAUAUAUUUUUUCUAAUUUCUUCUCAACCCAUGCCCAAACCUUUAAAUUGUACUAAUCAUUAUAAAAGUUAACUCAAAAUAAAUAAUGAAAUUAUACCUCACUCUUUCACAAUCAUAAAAAGUAAAAGACACAUAAAGUUCAAUGUACUAUAAUUUACAAAUAAAAAAUCACAGUCAUCCAAAAAAAUGAGUAAGAGAAAAUGUUGGAGAAAGAAGAAAGAGAAGAAAGUGACUUUUUUUUUUAGUUUCAUUUAUUUGAUAUGUAAAUUAUGUAACGAGUGAGGGUUAAUAUAGUCUUUUUACAAUUAUCGAGGGAGGUAAGUAAUAUUUUUAAAAUCUCAAGGGUGCCAAGUGAUAUUAGGAGAAACCUUAAGGGAGAUUUCUAAUGUUAUCUCAAAUUUAAAAAAUCCUAUGUUUUGGAGUGAGCUAAACUUUGAAUUUUUCAAAAUUGACUCUAGAAACUCGAUUGACUGCUCUACACAUUAUGUAUUGUAGAUGUAAACAUGCGUUAAGUAUACACAUACUAAAUAAAGGAGUACAUUGUCUCAUUCAAACAACCAUUUAAACCAAAGUCUUUGAAGUACUCAAAUAGUUUUAACACCAGUGCCCUUCUUUCUCUGAAGACCCAUUUUCAUUUGAAAAUAGGGUAAAAUACACAAAAUCUUCUUGUGGUUUGUACAAAAGUUAAACUACUCCCUUAUUAUUUGAAAGCACCCAAAGGAUCCCCUUGUAGAUUUGACAAAUAUGAAAAAUGGCUGGCAACCACUUAUAUUGACAAAAUCAUAUGAAAUUCUCAUAUUACCCUUAUUGAGUAGCUCUUUUUGGCAUAAAUCUGUAUAGAUCUUUUGUUCUUUCUAUUUUUUUCCUUUCUCAUUUUUAUCCUUUAUCCUUUAUGGUGGAGGAUGAGUAAUUGAAUUUGUAAUUAGAUUUUGUGCUUCUCAAUAAACUCUACCUCAAAACAAAAGUUUUCUUGCACAGGAAACAUAAAAUAGUAGUAAAGCAAGGAGAUAAACCACAAAAAUUUUAUUUAAAAUAUAUAUUUUAAAAGAAUAACAUCUUUACAAAUUUAGAUCAAUUGCCAUUAUUAUAUUAUGUGAAUCUAAGUAAAAAAAAAAACAUAAACAAAAGGGAAAAAAAUCAACAACAACAUUGAUUAGUUCUUAGUUUAAAUGUUAUGUACACUGACAGUGUAUAUACUUUUAUGGUUAGAUACACGACAGAUGUGCAAAAUUUGGAUUUCAAAUUCAAAUUAGAUUAUGUGUUAUGUAUCCAAUGGUAAAAGUGUAUAUAAUGUCAGUGUAUACAAAAUUAAUCCUUUUCUUAUUUUUCUAUUCUAGUUUAUAUGUAAUGGUGGUGCCCUAUUUAACUAGUACCAGUACUAAAAACAUAUGAGAAGUGUGCGAUUAAUUAUGGAAUCUAUGAUGAUGAUGAUGACGAUGACAAAAAUUGAAAAAUUGAAAUGAAAGAUUAGAAAUCUCCAAAGCUGGGGGCCCUAGGGGGGAACACUAUUUGCAUUCAAACUUGUUAGAUUCAUGAGUAAAGGAUUGUGUUCCACAUUGAUCCGAGAGAUAGAGAAAGAGCAGUUAAUAUGUAAGUAAGGGCCUGAAACCUAUGGUUUAAGCUUUUGGCUCAAAGUUGGGUUUCUGACUUAUAUAUUGAGCUCUUUGAUGGACUCUCUCGAGGUGUUUCUCCCCAUCAAAUUGGUAUCAUAACCUCAGGUUGCAAGACUGGACUACUAAUGAGCAAGUGGAUUCUUCUCAAAGUUGGAUCGGUAAAAAUUCUCUUCUUGGUGGUGGACCAAAGUACCAAGGAGUUUGGUUAGUGUUGGACCACGUGCACUAUGGGUUUGGCAGGAGAUCCAGUUGGUGUUAGACCAAGGAGCCAAAGGUUGGCAGGGAUCCAGAAUACAGUUUGGCUAUUGAAGAAGAGUGGGUCCAUGUUUGGGAGAAGAGGUGACCUUAGGUGAUAAGGUGAGUUUGUGUUGAGUAUUAAAGUGGGUUCGAAAAAAGACUUGUAAAUUUGGGUUUAAUGUGGAGGUUACUCAUGAAGAGAGAGAUUUGUUAGAUUCAUGAGUAAAGGAUUAUGUCUCACAUUGGUCCGAGAGAUAGAGAAAAAGCGGUUAAUAUGUAAAUAAGGGCCCGAGACCUAAUGGCUUAAGUUUUUGAAUCAGAGUUGGGUUCUUGACUAAUAUAUUGGACUCUUUGGUGGACUCUCUUGAGGUAUUUCUCCCCAUCAAAAUUAAGAUCUAAUGCACAAUCCCAUAACCCUGACACUAUAAAGCUUCUCAUGUGGAAUAUCAAAGGUGCCAAUAGUGCUGCCUUUCGAACCUACUUUGUAGAACCAAUUAAUGCUUAUAGACCUGGUAUCGUUAUGGUUGUAGAAACUAGACUAAGUGAUAGCAGGGCUAUUGAAGUCUGUGAAAGCAUCCCACUCAUAAACUUCUGAAUCCAAGAUGCCAAUACUUUCAAAGGGGGUAUUUGGCUGCUGUGGAAUAAAACGAAGAUCAAUGUGGAGAGCAUGUAACUAGCAACUUCCAGGUUAUCCAUUCUGCAGUUUAUGUACAUCCUAAAUCUACUUAGCUGCUGUUUCUAUGCCAGCCUUAGGUUAGAAGAAAGUUCUUUACUCUAGGACCACUUGAAGUCUAUAGCUUCCUCUAAUACUUUGCCUUGGAUGUGUCUGGGUUACUUCAAUGAUUUUCUUGGGUUACUUCAAGAUAAACUUGGUGAAAACCCAUUAAUAGAUCUAGGGUUUCUGCUUUUGGUGAUGUGAUUGAUGCUUGUAAUCUCUUUGACUCUUGGAACCCUUUAUGGUAGGAAUGGGUUGAGCAAUACGAGAGAUUGACACAUGUGAUGGACAGAAAUGGAGGCCACACGAUCCUUAACUUCGAAAGCAAUUGCCGACGCGCACGCAAGAGGAACAAAAACGAACGUCUCACAAUAUACGACAAAAGUAAAAUAAAAAGAAUUGUGUUAAGUGAGGGAUCGGUGGGGCAAGUACGAAAGAAGGUGGUAUGAUAGUGAAGUAUUCGUAUUUGCACAAUCCUCCCAUGAAGUAUGGAUAAUGUGACUAAGCCCCCUUUUAAAGUAGUUGUGUGAUUAGCUUGGAAAAACUAUUUUAGUGCUUACAAAUAACGUUUGAUUUUCAGAUAUUCUCAGAACUAGUAAUAGAAAAUGGGGGUGGUUGAGGAUAAAUAUUUUGUUUGGUUAUAUCAUACUCUGAGAAUUUCAUAACAAUUUGAAGUACAUAUGAUUGCAUAUAAAAGAAAUUGAAAUUGUAAUCCCAAAUUUGUUUUGGAUAACAUUAUUUUUGCAAUAAAUAUAUUUUUAGAUAAAAAUAAAGUAAGUAUGAAAAAAAAAGAAUAACAGACAAAUGGAAUGGUAAGCAAAAUAGCUGAAUAAUUGUUUUGUUAGGUUGGAGUGUGAUUGGUUAGUGAAUCCCAUACAAUUUGUAUGGUGGUUCUACUGGAUGUGAAAAGGCAUAAGAAGUGUUGGGCGUGUGCGUAGCGUUGCAAUGGAAACGAAUCGCUGAAUCGGGGCCAUUUUUUUUUUUGUUAUGAAACAUAAUAAAUAAAAGUUUCUUCUUAUUUUAGUAGUGGUAAUAAAUAAUAAAUGUAACCAUAUAUAAAGUAUGGAAUUAAUAAAUUGAAAUUUACUAUAAAUAAGGAAGCAUAGAAUAAUAGGAAAAAAUGAAAGUUUUUCCAAAUUUUAGUAAUGGUAAUAAAUUAUCAAUCCAAUAAUAGGAAUAGAGAGUGUGAAUAUAGAGAAUUAAACUUGAAAAACUAUUGACAAAAAAAUUAAGGCAUAAAUUAUAAAAAUGUAUAUACAAUAGGUAAUUUAUAGGAUUUUGAAAUUUACUAUAAAUACAGGAGUAAAAAGGGACUGUGAUUUACUAUUAUGUAAAAUAAAUAAAUAAAUAAUAAAAUCUGCCAAGAAACAUAAGCAAACACAAUUUUUUUUCCAUAUGGCAAAAAGAUAAAAUUGUCAUUUGACAAAAUACAACUAAUUUACCAACUUGCUAAAAUGAAAAGUGAAUAGCGAAUUAAUAUAUUUAUAUAUUAAUAAAAAAAUAUAUAUACACACAUGCGCACAUAUGUGUGUGUAUGUAUUUAUGUAUGUAAGUCAUGAAUCUUCUCAUGAGUGUUAACGUGGCAUACUUUAACCAAAUUUUAGUAAUAAAAAUAAAUACUCAAACCAAUAUUAUGAAUAAGGGAUAAUAUCAUAAACCUCUCCUGAAGUUCUCUUAGUAUCACCUGGCACCCCUAAGGUUUUAAAAAUAUCAUUUAUCUCUCUUACUUUUGUUAUUUGUGUAGUAAAAUUUUGAAAAUCCUAAACUACCCUUCUACUUGCUAAAUAAAAAUACUCCUAAACCACUUUAUUUACUUCAACAAAACCAUCACCUAAAAAACAAUCUCUAGUAGUAUUGCCACAUCAUAAUGCUAUAGUCCAUAAAAAUAUGAUUUCAAAAAAUAAAAAAAUAUUUGCAAAGAAAUACACUUGACUAAUUUAACUCUAUAUGUUCAAAAUCGAUUUCUUAUGAACUUUAUAUUUUUUUCAACUUCUUCCCAACUCAUGUCCUUUAAAUUGUACUAAUCAUUAUACAAAUUAACUGAAAAUAAGCAAAUAAAUCUAAUCCCACUCUAUCACAAUCAUAAAGUGUAAAAGAUGAGUUAAAUUCAAUUUAUUAUAAUUUACAGAUAAAAAAUCACAUAUUCAUCCAAAAAUGAGUAAGAGAGAAUGUUGAAAAAAAGAGAAAGAGAAGAAAGUGACUUUGAUUUUUUUUUUCAAUUUUUUAAAUUCAUUUAUUUGAUAUGUGAAUUAUGUAUCAAGUAAGGGUUAAUAUAAUUUUUUUGCAAUUGUUAGGGGAGAUAAGUGAUAUUUUUAAAAUCUCAAGGGUGUCAAGUGAUAUUUAGUGAAACCUUAAGAGAGGUUUUUGAUAUUUUCCCUAUGAAUUGAAUAAAGAACAUGAUUAAGAUGAUUAGAAAAGGAAAGAUAUGAGUUGACUGACAAAAAAAAAAAAAGAAGGUACAAUUAAUACAAACUUAUAUAAGGUAGGUCAUUCAUAAAUUUGUUUAAACUGACUAUAAAUAAGAAACCAUACUAUAAAUAAGGAAGGGAAUUAAUUGUUAUCAAAAAGGAAAAAGAAUAAAAAAUAAAAAAACACAAACAUUAAAGACUUCCAGAAAAAUAGAUAAUCAACUUGGUAGAAAGUUAGAUAGAAUAACCAAAUCAACAACCUAUUACAAUCGAAACUGAACAUUAUAUAUGUGUGUGUAUGUGUGUGUGUGUGUGUGAGAUAUACAAUACUGCAUGUGGGGGACUAGUUAGAUAUAUAUAGAAGAAAAAUGUGCAAUUUGAUAAGGGUUUAAUGAAAAUUUAUCCUCUUAAGGUAUACUCUGAUUCUCAUUUUACCUCAUAAUAUUUAUUUUUUGUCACUUAACCCUUUAAGAGACAAAACUACCCCUAUAUUAUGCUUAUAUUUUAUUUUUAAUUUUUUUACUUCAUAUAAUCAUUGAACUUUAGUGUGAUUUGACUUUAACCACCAUUUUAAUCGAUGAUGGUAAAGUUUCACAUGAGAUGAGUACAUUUGUUAGGGAAUAUACUAAUAAUUGAUUAUUUUAAAUAAGGACAAAAAAAGAUCCUAAUAAGAAUGAACUUUUAUAGGAAAAAUAACAAAAAAAAGUCCAGUGCUGACAUGAAAAUGUGUGAUCAUAAGAAUGGCCAAUUGACUAUGAAUAGUGCAAUUUAAGGAAAUAUAAUAAAUUUUGUUGCUUAAUUUGUUAAAUUGGAAUAUAGAUGAAAUUGAUUUGUAAAAAAUAUAUAUAGUUUUUUUAAUUUUAUAAAUUAGAGAAUGGACAUCCUAAAUUUUUUGUUAGAGGAAUUUUUUAGUUUCUUAGAAACAAAAAUUUUGAUAACAGAAAACUAAUUUGGAAUAAAAAAGAAAGGAGAGAAGAAAAUAGGAAAAAAAUUUACAUAGUAGAGGGGUAUUUUUGUCUCUCAAAGGGUUAAAUGACAUAAAAUAAAUGUUAGGAGGUAAAGUGAGAAUCAAGAUAUUAGGAAUAGAUCCCAAAUAUAAAGAGUGUGUGAUAGUUUAAUAGAAUAUCAUAUUAAAAGAAUGUAAUAUUGAGAUAAAGUAUUGAAAAUAAAAAAAUCCUUAAUUUAGUGCCAGAAAUAAAAUCUUGAACUGGAAGGGAAUUGUUUGGAAAAUAUGAAUUGUUAGGAAGAUCGUCGUCAGUUAAAAUCCAUUAGGUGUUGAAGGAUCUGCCGAAGAACGUGACUCGUGCAGAACGCUGAAUAGAUUCUACCAAGCCGACCUACAAUGAGCAAAACAGCGGGACUAUCUCCACAUUAUAAUUUUGAUGCUCAAGUUAGUUCUGUGAACAAGAGAGUAGGAAAAGAAUUACUAUAUUGUGUGUGUCAUACCUUUUCUUGGUCCAUCCGCCUACUAUUUAUAAGGCUCCUUGUGAUAAGUUAUGAAGGUGUCUAGAGUUAUCCUUCCACCACUUGUAGUUAUCCCAUUCACUAGUACAAGUCUUAUUAGGUUACUAGAGAUAAAGUCCUUCUAAGACUCUAGCUCUGACCAUAUCUCGAAAGUUAAGCCAUUUCGAACUAAGGUAGUAAGUUUGGUUCAGCUCGGCUCAAACGUGAUGCCCGAACAGAGCUCCUUGACCCAGACACAUGUCUAUAGACGAUUGCUUCCUCUACAGGUGCCAACUGAUGUUUUAGUGUGAUCUUUCUUGCAAAUAAAUAGUUCCAACAAACAGUAACUGCAGUUUGUGGGUACUCCAUAAUGUUGGCAUAAAGAUUUGCACAACAAAUUUGGCUAUUUUUUUGAGGAAUAAAAUGUUGAAGCGGAAGGAACCAUGUAGGGUGGUCUGUCCAUUGAGAUGGGACACUGUGCUGGGAUGGCCUAAUAAAACUAAACAGAAACCAGAAAAAUAAAAAAGAGAUGUGAUAGGGAGAAUUUAUAACUUGAAUUAACUUAGAGAAAUAUACAAAAUAGUUUUGUAUAUUUCCUAAUUCAAGGGAAUAUUAGGGUCCACAAUACAACAUGAUUAAUGGGCUAGAGCAUGAAAAAGGUGAAAUGAAACAAUUCAACUGAAAUACGUUAAUUUUAAAAAAAAAAGAGCACAAAGAAUAGCGGAAAAAAAAGUUGCAAUACCGGUUCUGUCACAGAGACAUUAAGAAUGAAAAAGCUACUUGAUCCAACAAACCAUUCAAAAUGGAAAGAUUCGGGAUGUCCUAUCCAUCGUCCUUUGAUCUUAUAAAACAAUGCCGGCUUCCCCUUCCCAUCCCUAUCAACACCUCUAUUCAUAGGUUUACUAAAACCACCUGAGAAUGGAGCAAGAACUCCUUCGAGAAUAUCUUUCAUACUAAAAGAAAGAUUUUUAAUAGACUAGUAGAAAUCCAAAGAUCCCUCCAAAAUCACCCAUCAAGUUUCCUUUCUAUUCUUGAAACUUUCUUCACCCUUCAGUUGGAAAAUACUUUAAAAAUGAAGAAAGAUCUUUGGCUAUUAAAGUCUAGGACUGAUCACCUAAUCUGGGAUGAUUUAAAUGUUAACUACUAUUAUGCAGAGAAGGAAUAAUAAAGUUCUCUCCCUAAAAGGUUCUGCUGGAAACUGGAUUUCUGAUGAGUCCUCCAUCAAGCAGCAUAUGCAAACCUUUUUCUUCAAGCUCUUUACUUCUGACUUUGUUGAAAUUAACCUCCUUAUGGAACCUUUCCUUAGCCCUCCACCCCAACUUCCCAUCUCUGAUAAACUUCUUUCUCUUAGCAAUGCCUCAACUAUAUAGGAGAUCAAAAGAGCCUGUAUUGAUUUUAAGCCCUUUAAAGCUUUUGGCCUUGAUGACCGUCAUGCUUGCUUCUAUCAAAAUUUUUGGAAUCUCAUCGAGAAUUCUGGGGUUCAAUUUGUUAGAAAUUCAUUUGACCACAAGCCUUUUCCCCGUGGUAUUAACGAUUCUCUCAUUUGCCUUAUUCCCAAGACUGAUAGACCUCAGUCCAUCUAAAACUUCAUAUGCAUUUAGCUUUGCAACUCAUUUUAUAAGAUCCUUGUCAACAAACAGACUCAGAUCUUAAUUGUUUAAGGUUAUCUCUCCUUUCAAGGCCAGCUUUCUUCCAAAAAGAAGCUACUCUAACAAUGCGAGACUUGUUCAAGUAGCAAUCUUCGAGAUCAAAUUUAAGAGACGAGUUAAAAAAACUUUGUGCCAUUAAAAUUGAUUUGAAAAGGCCUUUGAUAAGCUAGAGUGGCACUUUAUCAGAGAAGCCAUGAACUACUUUAACAUCCCUGACAAACUCUCUCGAAUCAUUCUUUAAUGUAUCUCCCUUGCUAGACUGGCUGUUCUUUACAAUGGUUCUUCCUUGAAUUGGAUCUGCCCUUCCAAGGGCAUUAGACAAUGGGACUCCAUCUCCUCAUAAAUGGCGGAGCCAAGGGGGGCUGAUGGCCCCUAAGUUUUGAAAAUUUUAAUUCAUAAUAUAUAAAUAUAUGUAUAAGACAAAGUUGGCCCCUUAAUUUUUUAUAAUUUUAAUUUAUAUUAUGAGAGUUUAUAUAUAUAUGUGUGUGUGAAUUAGCCACCUUUGAUUUAAUUUUUUCUUCAAAAAAAGUUAUUUAUUUUUUAUUGUACUAAUUAUUUAACAUUCAAAAAUUUAAACAUAUAAUUUGAUGAUCCAUAGUAAAUUGACCCAAUUUAAUGCAUUAUAAUAAAAGACUCAAUUCAUAAUUAUCAAUGGACUAAAACAAAAAUAAUUACUUUAUUGGUCCAUAUACAAACAAACAACUUAGUUUAAUUGAUAAAAAAUUUAAAAUUAGUGAUCUAUCCUCUUGUUAACCCAUAUACAAAUAUACAAAUAAUUACUUGAAGGCUUGGUGAAGACAAGAAAUUGAGUGAUAUAUCUUGUUGUUGACAGAUUGAUUAUAUUUAUUCUUACUCUUCUUAUGUGAACGGCAACUAUAGAACGUGCAUUUUCAAUUAUGAAUAUAAUCAAAAUAAACCUCCAAAACAAGACAAAAGAUAAUUUCUUGAACGAUUGUCUAACAAUGUACAUAAAAAAAAAGAAGUUGUUCAAAAAUUUAGCACUGAUUCAAUUAUAAAUGAAUUUAGUUCUAUGAAAGAAUGUAAAACUCAAUUUACUUUUAAGAAAAGAGGUUGAAAUUUCAAGAUAUGCUAACAUAACUUUUAUCUUUUAUUAAUUGAAAAUAGUUAUAUUAUAUUGUAUAGUUAUAUUUUUGUUUUUGCACAAGUGACAUAUUGGAGCAUCUCUCAUAAUAUAAAAUUUGGGUAGUUUGUGAUGUUAUAAGAUAUUUAAUCAAAGGUUAUUUCUUGUCCUAAAUUUUGUUAUGACUAUGCUGCAUAUUUAUGAAAUAGACAUACCUUUAUAAUUAAAGUUACUAUUUGACAUUUUAAGAUGUCAUAUAUUUAAAUAGAUGGAAAUUAUUUUGAACAUAACAUAUUAAGAUAAUUUUGUUCAGAAAAAUUUUGGCCUCCCUCUCAAGGAAAAAAUCUUGGCUACGUUCUAUAGUCUAUAGAAUUGACAUUUUCAAUUAUGAAGAUAAUCAGAACAAAGCUCCAAAACAAGAUAAAAGAUCAUUUCUUGAAUGAUUGCAUAACAAUGUACAUAAAACAGGAAGUUGUUCAAAAAUUUAGCAUUGAUUCAAUUAUAGAAGAAUUUAGUUCUAUGAAAAAACGUAAAACUUAAUUUACUUUUAAUAAAAGAGGAUGAAAUUUCAAGGUAUGUUAACAUAACUUUUAUCUUUUAUUAAUUGAAAAUAGUUAUAUUAUAUUGUAUAGUUAUAUUUUUGUUUUUGCACAAGUGACCAAUUGGAGCAUCUUCUCAUAAUAUAAAAUUUGGAUAGUUUGUGUUGUUAUAAGAUAUUUAAUCAAAGGUUAUUUCUUGUCCUAAAUUUUGUUAUGACUAUGCUGCAUAUUUAUGAAAUAGACAUACCUUUAUAAUUAAAGUUACUAUUUGAUAUUUUAAGAUGUCAUAUAUUUAAAUAGAUAGAAAUUAUUUUGAACAUAACAUAUUAAGAUAAUUUUGUUCAGAAAAAUUUUGGCCUCCCCCACAAGGAAAAAAUCUUGGCUACGUUCUAUAGUCUAUAGAAUUGACAUUUUCAAUUAUGAAGAUAAUCAGAACAAAGCUCCAAAACAAGAUAAAAGAUCAUUUCUUGAAUGAUUGCAUAAAAUUGUACAUAAAAAAGGAAGUUGUUCAAAAAUUUAGCAUUGAUUCAAUUAUAGAAGAAUUUAGUUCUAUGAAAAAACAUAAAACUCAAUUUACUUUUAAUAAAGAGGAUGAAAUUUCAAGGUAUGUUAACAUAAUUUUUAUCUUUUUUUUAAUUGAAAAUAGUUAUAUUUAUAUUGCAUAGUUAUAUUUUUGUUUUUGCACAAGUGACAUAUUGGAACAUCUUCUCAUAAUGUGCAACUUAGGUGGUUUGUGUUGUUAUAAGAUAUUUACUAAAAUGUUAUUUCUUGUCUUAAUUUUAAUUAUGACUAUACUACAUAUUUGUGAAAUAGGCGUACAUUUAUAAUUAAAGUUAAUAUUUGAUAUUUUAAGAUGUCAUAUAUUUAAAUAAAUAAAAAUUAUUUUGAACAUAACAUAUUCAGAUAAUUUUGUUUGAAAAAAUUUUGGCCCCCAAAGAAAAAAUCUUGGCUCCAUCUCAUGUCACAACUUUUUCAUCGUGUGUAUGGAAUACUUUUCGCUAUCUAUCAGUAAGGUUGUUUUCUGAAUCUCAAUGGUGCCUCAUUACCUUUGGUCCCAAAAGCCCUACCUUGUCCCAUUAUACCUAUGUUGAUGACAUUAUCGUAUUUGCUGAAACACAUACAUAAUCUAUACCAGAAUGACACCAUGGUAGUUAAAGACCUUUUUAACUCCUAUGAGGGAUAUAAUUUGGAAGCACUCUCUACCAUCCUUCUCAAAGGGAUCAGUCAGGAAACCAUGGCUAUACCUAGACAGCAAUACAACCCGUCUUCUGACUUUAUUAAAUGGGAGAGCUCCCUGGAUGGUAAUUUUUCCCUUAAAUCAUCCUAUUCUCUUUCACUUCUUCAGAGAGAGUAAGACCACUCCCAUCAUUUUAACUCCAGCCUUUCUUGGAUUUGGAGCCUGAAUGUAGCCAACAAAAUUCAAGAAUUUUCUCUGGCUAUUAGCACAAAAUAAACUUCCCACGAGAUAGCAACUAUUUAAUAGGCAUAUUCUUUCUGGUCCAAGCUAUCCCUUUUCAAUGAAGACUAUAAUCAUGCAUUGAGAGGCUGUCCCAAUGCAUUAUAUUUCUGGAAGAUGAUCAAAUCCCCUUUCUUCAAUCACCCCAAGCUUUUGACAUUUGGCUCAAAGGCAACUACAGGGAUUCCUUCCCAUCGCUCUACAGUUCCAUUCCCUAUAAUAUUUUCUUUGCCUUUUGAAGAAGCGCUGUGCUUCCUCGGAUCGAGUUGACCUGAUGAGCUCGGCGUGCUGACGAGAAACGAUUAUCCAAAUCCUGCAAAACAAACAAGAAAGGGUCUCUAGGGUGACUAGCAGGGGAGGCCUGAGGCGGUCCCCGGGGGCACUCAGGCGGUCCCCGGGGGCACUACGACGGUCAAGUUAGUCUUCCGGCGAGUGGAGUUUACGGGAAGUUAAACAGUCGGGGGUAAUUUGCCAAGAGUGAGUGUACCUUAUGCAGUUGGCGUGCGCUAUCAUUAAUACCUGCUCGAGAGUCCGACCUCCGUACGUUUCGGGCUCCUUCCUGGAAUAGUCUCAAUCCCGCGUUGAGGGGGAUUCUCCCCGUCCUCUGUAGGAUUGUUCUCUGGACCCCUGGGCAGCCUGGGGAGCCCUAGCGGCGGCGCGCCUCAGGAUAGUUCCCAUGGGCCUAGGGUCCAAGCCCAGUUCUGGUCUUCCUGGGCUGCCACGUGUCUAAACCCAGGACGGGGCCUCUGCGCUAUCCCCUAGAUUAGGUAGGGCUUCCAGAUAGACCUAAUCUACGCCUCCUGCCACGUGGGAGACCGGCGUCGCCCUGUUCUGCCAUGGUCACAUCCGGCACAGUGCUGUCACUGAAAAACUGCGCUCGUGUCCUUUCGGCUGUCGCGUCUUUUCAGUUUCCGUACCGCUCUUAAAUGCGUUCAUAUGGGGACGGUUCAAAUUCAAGCGGCCGUUUCCCCCUAUUUCACUCCCUAUAAAUAGGGGUUUCCAGAUUUCCUCCGACUCUAUUUGCCAUUUUCCUCUCUUUGCGUAUUUUCUUAUUCCCGGAAAUUCCAGCGGCAAGACUUCCGACCCACAGUGCCCAGACUUCGGUGGUUCCUUCAUCUUUUCCCAUUCCAUUCAUCAGUAAGUCCUUUUCCUUCCUCCUUCGCUCCCUUUUUCCCUUUGCCAUCUUCUGCUUUUUAUGUCGGAUUGGUCCGGCAUUACUUCCACCGCAUCCCGGGUUCCUGCCGAUCGUAGAGCCCUUAGGAUCCUUAUCUUUUCUUCGUCUUCAUCCUCAUCUUCAUCUUCAUCUUUAUCUUCUCCUUCUCUUCUUUCUUCUUCCUCCGCUUCUAAUCCCAACUUUCACAUCCCUGACCUGCUCGAGCCCAUAGUCAUCAUGAGCUCUCCAUCUGCCCAUUCUCCUUCUGCCCGUAACUUGGAGGAGGUGGCUGAGCUCGAUGCCCUCAUCGAGCAGCAGGCAACCUCCGUUCCCUCCCCCAAGUCUCCGCAUGACUCCCCUGACGGAGCCCUGGGGGGCAGGGGAGGAUAGGUACUCCUCUGAGGGGACCCCGGCCUUUGAGCAGGGGGAUGAUCCUGGAUUCGACUACGGCUAACCUGACUAGCAAGAGGUCACCCUCUCGUCCGAGGAGGUUGCCGAGUUGGUUAGGUCUUUUUCCAUCCUUCCGGCCUUCGAGCCAACGGUUGCCGAGCUCAAGGACCGAGCCAGCCGACCUCCCCACUGCUUCGUAGCCAUCUAUAAGGAGCAGCUGGUCGCGGGGUUCCGUCUCCCCAUUCCUCCAGCCUUAACCAAAAUCCUGAACUACUGGGGGUUCAGAAUCACCCGAGUCCAUCCCAAUUCGAUCAGGAUCAUUAUUGGAUUCCUGAUCUACUGCCAAAUCUGCUCUAUUUCCUAUUCUCUUUCUCUCUUCCGACCCUCUUAUACCCUCAAGUUCUCCCUUCCUGAGUGGUACUACUUCUCCUGCCGAACUAUUAGCAAAGUUCGGGGUGGGAAGGGCACCCAGGAUUUGCUCUUCGGGGUUCCCUCUUCCAUAAAGAACUGGAAGGGGGACUUCUUCUUUGUUAAAUUCAUGCAUUUUUUCCCUAAUGUAUGGAAGGUCGGGGAGGUCGACUCCGACCCCUAUCCGGGGGACUUGGACUCCAAAGCUCUCAACCAGCUGGUGAGCUCCACGGUGUAGCUCUACGCGGCUAGGUUCUCCACCGAGCAAAUAUCUGCUACCGGGCUGAUGGGGACGUUGUCCUGGUCCCCUGGAGAAGUGGUGCCCUCCCCUACCGACUACGACACCUGUAAUGCCGCCUCUGUGCUCCUGUAGUCCGUUGCUUUCUUCCUUCUUUUACUAACCUGUUUUUGCUAACCUGGUGGUGUUUGUCGCAUUGAUGAGGCUUUCUAAGCUGUUGGGCAUGCCCUCCAACAUAGCCGCCCCGACUUCGCAGCCAGAGGCCGCCAAGAAGGCCUCUGAGGCUUCUCCGACUCCUGGGGACAGCUCGGCUCCCCAGAAGGAAACAUCUCACUCCUCGGCCCCCUCCAAGCAGGUCGCCAGCAAGAAAAAAACGACCGGACAGAAGAGGGGUCGAGGGGACAAGCCCUCCCAACAUGAGAAGAGGCCCGCGCCUACUCCAGCACAACCCCCUCUCCUGCUAACGUCGGGGGCGCCCCUCAUGCGGGUCCGGUCCACCUGGGGGUUGGCUCCGCGGAGGAGUACGCACAGGAGACGCCACCCCCAGUCUGUGGCAUUUUCGCCAUGUGGCUCCCAUGAAGUCGGGUCAGGCCCCCUCCAUGCACACCCCCGUCGUUUCUGCUCGUCCUGGGGGCUCUUCAUCAACGACCGAGUCUAGUUUCCUGAGGUGGCUCGCGAGUUGGUAGCGGGCUCGGUCCUUUCACGUGACAAGAGGUGGAUGGAGUUGGCCAGUUCGUUCGAGCUCCAGGACAUGUACUAUACCGCCCAAACCCAAGUAAGCUCUCCACCGCUUAGGCUACUUUUGUCUAUGCUUUCCGGCUCGGUCCUGAUGCUAACUUCCCUUUCCGUUCCUCAGGCCAAUGUCGCUGGGGUUGCCCUGACGACCCGCUUCUCCGAACUGUCUUCCGACUUGGAGAAAUUGCAGAAAAAGAAUCGGGAGACUGAGCAGAGACUUGCCCAUGCCCUAAAGGAGAUAGACUCCUUAAAGGCCAAGUUGGACAAGACCGAGAAGGAGCUGGAAGCGGCUCAAGUCUAGCUCGUCUCCACCAGGUCAGAGCUGGACCAGGAGAGGGCGGGCGUGGAGAAGCUGAGGGCGGACGACGCCAUCGAACUAUCCGUCACCGUUAGCCGGGAGCGCAGGAAGGCUGUUCAGGAGUUUAUCUCCUCCGAAUAGUUUGCCGAGGACGUCGCCCUCCUUAACCAGCUCAUCCUUCAGGUCGGCUUCACGCGGGCCCUGGACCAGGUGAAGGGACUCGGCCUGCCUGGCUUCGACUUGACCACGUUCAAGGACUACAAUCCUAUCGCUGAGGAGAAACUGGACUGGCUUUUCGACGGGUAUUGCAAGGGGCAUGUCCUGAAAGACUUGGUGGGCAGGAGCGAUGUGGGAGUCGAACUGGCAGAGAUUCCCCUGGAGGAGGGCGAGGCUCCCGCAGGGCUUCCGGGAUGGAAACGGUGGGCUGAGUUGUACUCUUUUUUUUUUUAGCUAGGUAGGCUUUAUAAGGGCAAAGAACACCAGCGGCCAUUAAACUAUUGUCAGGAUUGUGUUUUGGCCAUCAAACUAUUUUUCGUCAAUAAUUAGCCACUGAACAAUUUAAUCAGUAAAUUCGUACCCAUUUCGUUGAUAAUGACUCUUAAUUUCUAAAAUUAGCAGGACACGUGGUAAAGGACAGGGAUAAUUUUGUCCAACAAUUUACAGAUCAAAUGCCACCACUUUCUGCUACCGCUGCUCAGUCAAUAAGCCGAAACCCAAAUCCAAGAACCCCAAGAAUCAGCUUUCCGACGACAAUGCCCGCCAGAUUAUCAAAGCCAAAGCCCAGUAUUUGAGCCAGUUGAGGCGCAACCAGGGCUGCUCUGCUCAGACUCCCAAGUGGAUUAAGAGGACCCCUGAGUAGAUGGAGACGACAGGGAUGUAUAAUCCCAUUGAUUGGCUCUUUUUUUGAUGCUCGACUUAUUUAGUCAAAUCCUUGUACUCCCACGAAUGGCCAUCAACCAUCGUUCCCAUGGCGCAGCCGGCUGUAGCGGCACCUAUUCUUCCAUCUAUCAAGGCUGAACACGAUCCCAAUCCACCACCUCCGCAACUAGAAACUGCCACCCCUAUCAACCAAGAGCCACAACCCACCACCAUCACUUCCCUCCCAUCUCGACCAUCACAAACUCCGUCAUCUCCUCCGUUAGUCCCAUCUUUUCUCAAUUCAAUCACCUACCUCCGCGACCUAUCCACCGCCCUUGAAGCCUUCAACAUUUGCUAUUACAACCUCCAAGCUUACAUCGAUUCCAUUAAUUCCGCUCUUGAUUCCCAAUUAUCCCUCCAAAAAUCUAAUCUUUCCUCCCCAUACUGUGAAAUUUUACCCAUUAUUCCUCUCCCUCCGCCCACAUCUACCCGACCGCCAUCAAACCCUUCUCCAGUAAGAAAAAGAAAAAGAAAAAGGGAAAUCAUGUCAAUCAGAGCUGGAAAGCCUUUAUACAUUCAUGUCUAGCAGAGGGCUUCGGAAAUACAUGGUAACUAAUAUUGGAGAACCGGAUAAACUCCGAGAAGAAGUUCCAAAAGCAUUGGAACUCUCGCCUAAUCCGGCAAAAUUCGUUCUGGAAUGCUCUGGGAGAUUUUUGUUUUUUUUGCAAGGGAGUACAGCUUAUACUAAGGAUUCCCUCAUGAUUCCGGCGAGGGAGGCUUCUGUUUUAGUGUUAAGAGUGUUUUUUGCUGAUGGAAAAUGAGGGUGGUGAUGAUAGAGUGAUUAAGAUUGACAAGGCGACAAAAUUGUCCCUAUCCUUUGCCACGUGUUCUGCUAAUUUUAGAAAUUAAGAGUUAUUAUCAACGAAAUGGCCACGAUUUUACUGAUUAAGUUGUUCAGUGAUCAAUUAUUGACGAAAAAUAGUUCGAUGGCCAAAACAUGAUCCUGACAAUAGUUUAAUGGCCGCUGGAGUUUUUUGCCCGCUUUAUAAUAGGUAGGUUUUCAAUGCACAUAUGGAAUGAUAUUGAAUGAAACAACCUACUCGUAGCUUCCCUUUUUCGCCUGUGCCAAACUCUAGUAAUCGAAGCGGCAUGCCGACCUUCUGGGUCGAAUAUCAAACCGGUUUAUCCAAGCAACGUGCCGGCCUCUCGGGUCGAGCAUAUAUCAAACUUUAAAUUAACAAAUAAAUUGUCAAGGACAACAAACUGGGGCACCGUCAAACUAAUUUACCAGCCGAAUUCUAACAACCGAAUCGUCGUGCCGACCUCCUGGGCCGAGCACCGAGCCUUAAAGCUUUAAACCAUGCCGAUCUCCUGGAUCGAACGUCGAACUCUCAAACUCUAAGGGCUUUUUAUCCACUCAUUGUCCCCGCUAAGUGUACUAGUAUGGAACUAACAAUCAGAUAGCGUGACAAUUCAAGACAAACGAUUUUGAUAAAUUUUGCAAUGAAUGCUCGAAGUCGAACAUUUAUUUAGUUUGACACGGAAGUGGAUUCCGAAGAACAGACAGCAGGAUGUACUGGACCCAUCUAUCCUAAGAACAAUCGCAAGUUCGAAAAGUAUCAAGUAUGGGGUACCUCUACUCCAUCUAAUUUUGCGAGUUUAUAGUACACCGCUCGGCUUGUCUCCAGGACUUUGUACGGCCCCUCGCAGUUUGGAUCGAGCUUGUUGAAACUAUGAGCUCGGCUGACUGAGUUUUUUCUUAAGACGAGAUCCCCCGGCUGGUACUGCGCGUUCCUCACUUUCGCGUUAUGAUAGCAGGCGAGCUGACUUUUGUACUUAGCCAUCCGUAUCGCUACUUCCUCGCGUUUGGCCUCCAACGUGUCCAAGUUACACCGUAGUUCCUCUUCAUUGGUUGCCACAACAAAGUUCUGUGUCCGAGGGGAUGGGAGGCCGAUCUCUACCGGUACCACCGCUCCUGUCCCAUAAGUCAGGGAGAAAAGGGUCUCAUGGGUGACUGUCCUCGGCGUAGUUCGGUAAGCCCAAAAGAUACUAGAAAGUUCCUCUAGUCAGUUAGAUUGAGCCAGUUCUAGCCUAGUUUUCAGUCCUUGCAGAAUGAUUCGAUUAACGUUCUCUACCUGGCCGUUGGCCUGGGGAUGACCGACCGACGUGAAGUGUUGGCUAAUCCCGAGCUCGGCGCACCAGCUCUUGAAGGGGUUUUCAGCGAACUGUCGCCCAUUGUCAGAUAUCAAGACAUGUGGAAUCCCGAAGCGGCAAACUAUGUUCUUCCAGAUGUGCCGCGCAUAAGCCUUCAUGAAUUUCUCGGAGGACGUAAUCGCCCUCCUCAGGAGUUACGCACUUUAGUCAGGUAGACAAAUACGACCUCCUAUACAGGGUUUCCCCAGCGUAGGCGUACUUGGUAGCCCUGAGCUGGAGCCGUCGGGCCUCAGUUUUGUCCUCGGGGAGAACACUCGAGUUGAGGAAAUCAAUGAAAGAAGUCAUCCAGGAGGCCGAGCUGUCUAUGGUCAAGACUUGGACCCGGUCGAUGCUUUUUUGCUUGACUACCUCCAUCAAGACUUCCUUGUUCAAGUGAACAAACGAGGAGGACGCCAGUUUUGACAUGGCGUCCGCGCGCUUGUUCUGUGAUUUUGGCACCUGCUCGAUCUCAAAAACAUCAAACAGGUUUACCACAUCUCGUAUCUUUGCUAAGUAUUUUUUCAUGAUGUCCUCCUUGGCCUCGUACUCGCCACGAACUUGGUGGACUACGAGUUGGGAGUCGCUCCGGACCUUGAUCGCAGUUAUACCCAACUGGUGGGCUACCCGCAAUCCAGUCAAUAGGGCCUCGUACUCUGCCUCAUUGUUGGAUGCCGGGAAGUCAAAUCUGAGAGCAUAGAUCAGUUCUUCCCUGGUGAGCGAGGUGAGCAGCAGGCCGGCUCCGCUCCCCUCCUUGCUCGAGACCCCGUUCACAAACAGUACCCACAGCACCUCCGGCUGUACCUCCUUGGGUAAAGGGCUUGACUCGACCACGGAUAAACUGGCCCCUUCAGCAAGGAAGUCCGCCAGGGCCUGAGCUUUGAUAGCGGCGCGAGACUGAUAGCCGAUGUCAUGCUCGCCCAGUUCGACGGCCCAUUUGGUCAUCCUACCCGAGACCUCAGGUUUUGUGAGUAUCUGUCGUAAGGGCUGAUCAGUCAUAACAAUAAUGCUGUGGGUCUGGAAGUAAGAUCGGAGUUUCCGGACGACGUACACCAGGGCAAGGACCAAUUUCUCUGCCGGUGUGUACCACGUUUCCGGCUCUUGUAAAACACGGCUGACAUAAUAUAUUGGCCACUGAGCCCCCCUGUCUUCCGGCUCCAAAAUUGCGCUCACGGUCUCGUUGCAGGCCGACAAGUACAGGAACACGGUUUCUCCCUGCUCCGGAGCGGUUAAAAUGGGCAACUCAACCAGAUAUGCUUUCAGAUCGGUGAAGACUUUCUGGCAUUCCUCAGUUCAUUGAAAGUCCUUAGGCGCUUUCAGAAUUCGAAAGAAGGGUAGCUCCCUCACCACGGAACGCGAGAGAAAUCUAUUCAGGGCAGCUAUCCUUCCCGUGAGUCGGUGGACCUCCUUUAUGUUCUUCGGAGGGGUUAUGUCCAUGAUGGCUUGGAACUUAUCCGGGUUGGGCCGGAUUCCCUCUUGGGAGACCCAGAAACCUAGGAACCUUCCAGACCUAACCCCAAAAGUGCAUUUCUUCGGGUUCAACCGCAUCUGACUCUCCCACAGGAUGUUCAGGAUUUCUCUCAGGUCGGGAACGAGCUGCCGGUCAGUUCGGCUCUUGACGAUCAUAUCGUCCACGUAGACCUCCAUACUCCUGCCGAUCUGAUUCUGGAACAAUUUGUUGACCAAGCGCAGGUAGGUAGCUCCAGCAUUUUUUAGUCCAAACGGCAUUGUCCGGUAACAGUACGUCCCCUCCUCAAUGAUGAAAGAAGUCUUUUUCCGGUCCUCUUCAGCCAUCUCUAUCUGGUGGUAUUCCUUGAAGGCAUCCAGGAAACACAGAACGUCAAAACCCAUAGUAGAAUCUACUAACCUGUCAAUUCUCGACAAAGGGAAGCAGUCCUUUGGACAGGCUUUAUUGAGGUCUGUGAAGUCCACGCACAUCCUCCAAGAUUGGUCCUCCUUUUUCACCAGGACCGGGUUAGCCAGUCAGGUCGGGUAAUAUACCUCCAGGAUGAUCUUGGAUUCCAACAACUUGCCGACCUCCUUUUUGAUCACCUCAUUCCUCUCUGGGGCGACUUGAAGCGGGGAUUUACGUUGAGGUGGUGGACGGCAAGAUCAGUCGGAAUCCCAGGCAUGUCCUCAACCGUCAACGCAAAAAUCCGGGAGUACUCCCUUAGCAGGGCCUUCAGACUCUCAUUCUCCUCGGAAGGUAGCAACGCACCGAUGCGAAAGACCCAAUUGGGCCUGUCCUCUCUCAAGGGAAACUCCUCGAUCUCGUCCCGGGUGCCCAACUGUCGGGCCUCCUCCCCCGGGAUGUAGGGCUCCAAGCUGGUCGUCUGGACGACCACCUUCUCUUGUUCUCGGAGCAUGGCCAAAUAGUAAGUUCGGGCCACUUCUGGAUCUCCAUGUACCUCGGCUAUUCCCCCUGGAGUGGGGAAUUUGACGCUGAAGUGGAGCGAAGAAGGAAUAGAUCGGAGGGCGUUCAAGGCGGGCCGACCUACGAACAUAUUGUACGGAGAUUGUUGUUUGAUCACCACGAAGUUGACGGAGAUGGUCCGACAUUUGGGAGCCUACCCUACCGUGACCAUCAGGGUGAUUAUUCCUUCCGGGUUGAUGGACGGACCGGUGAAGCCCACCAAAGAUGUCCGAACUGGGGUGGUCAGCUGUCCAUCUUUCAAGCCGAGCUCCUUGAACACCAGGUAAAACAGGAUGUCCACCGCACUUCCUUGGCGUACAUACAAUUUUUUUCACCCGAUAGUUAUUGGUUACGACGUCUAUCACGAUGGUUUCGUGGUUCCCUAACGCCAGGGGAACCGCAUCCCUCGAUCCGAAAGUGAUCUCUUCGUCCACGCGCAGGCGCUUCAUGGAAUCAUCCUCCUCGGGGGGAGGUCGUCUAUUCUUCCGAGCCGCGUUGCUGUCCUCUCCCGUGGGACCCCCGGCGAUGGUGUUAAUCACAUCUGCCAAGUUCUGAGUGUCCUCGUCGGGGGAGUGGCACCAAGGAAUAUCAUGCCACUCAGGGUGGUCGCGACGCUGGCCCUCGCCCCUGUCUCUGCGGUAGGUGCGUCUCGACUUCUGGCCUGGUCAACCUUGCCGCAUAAAUCGUCCCAAGAAACCGCGCUGGAUCAGAAACUCGAUCUCCUUCCGCAGUGCCCAAUACCCCUCUGUGUCAUGUCCGACAUCACGGUGGAAGGCACAGUACCGGUCCUGGUUUCUCUUGUUCCGGGGUGUCCCCAUCUUAAGCGGCCGUUCCCCUAGACCUUCCGCCUCCAUAACGGCCAGGAUUUGGGUUCUGGGCCGAGUCAGGGGGUGUACCCUUUUUUCGGAAGCGGCGGUGGAGCGGGGGUUUUCUCCUUUGAGAGUCGGUCAAAAACGUUCUUCUUGGCCGGACCGUCCUUGCUUUCGGGGGGGGUUUUCCCGUCCUCUCCGUUCUCUGAACUCCAGAUCCGACUCCCUCUUCAGGCGUGCCGCCUCUUCUGCGUUAGCGGCUACGUGCGCUCUGGUCAAGAGCUCCUCCAGAUUUUCGGGAGACUUCUUUGCCAACUUAUAGAAGAGCUCCUCUGCCCUGAGCCCGUUCAUGAAGGCGGCCAUCACUACUUUUUCAUCAUUGUUCCUGAUCUGCAGACUCUCCGUGUUGUAGCGGGCCAUGAAAUUUUUCAGGGACUAGUCCGGCUUCUGCCUGAUUGCCAUCAGGUGAGUCGCGUUCUUCGAGUAAGUUUUCGAAAAGACGAACUGGGCGACGAACUGCCUGACCAGUUCGGAAAAACUUCGGGUGGACCCCGGUGCCAGACCCUGGAACUAGAGCCGGGCCCUCUCCUUCAGGAACAUGGGGAAGGUCUUGCAACGAAUUUCAUCCGCAACUGUUUACAGACGCAUGUGUGUGAGGAAGAUCGAGAGGUGGUCUUCCGGGUCGGUCGAAGCGUCAUACAACUCGAUGUUCGGGAUCUUGAAUCUUCGAGAUAGCGGGUAGUCCUCUAUUCCCCGGGUAAAGGGCGAGACUGUGUAAUUGUUCUCGUACAACUGCGGCCGCAAAAUCUGCUCGAGUUCGCGUCGGACAGGUUUCCACUGGGGGAGGUUGCGCGGUCGGCUCUUGACAGAUCGGUCUGGGGAGCGUUCAGGCUCGUUCCGCACAGGCUUCCACGGGGAAUGAUUUCUCGGUCGGCCCCCAGCGGACCGGUCGCGGGAACACCUCUCGCUAUUUCCGACCAUCGAGGCCGUGGUCGGGGGGAGUCCGUGGCCGUUUCCUUCUGGGGGGCUGGUUUCGUGACUCAUCCUCUGAGGGAAUGGGGGUGAUUCCUUCUACUUCUCCUUCACCUUGGAGCUUUGUGCGCCCCCGGAUUCACCCCCUCCUUUGCCUGUCGGAUCAUGUCUUCCAACAUGGGAAGAUUCUCCGUCACGAACUGAAGGAUCUGCUGUCUCCGUUCCCCUGAAGGGGCUGAGCUCUCAGCGUCCCGAGCUGCCUCGGUCUCCCUUUGCCGGGACCCCUCGCCGGCUUCGGGAUCGGUGUUCUUGAUGGUUCGCUUGGAACGCGUCCUCGCCAUCAACACAACUAUACUUACCUUUCGUUGCCACAGACGGCGCCAACUGAAGAAGCGUUGUACUUCCCCAGACCGAGUUGACCUGAUGAGCUCGGCGUGCUGACGAGAAACGCUUAUCCAAAUCCUGCAAAACAAACAAGUUGGCGUACCUUAUGCAGUUGGCGUGCGCUAUCAUUUAUACCUGCUCAAGAGUCUGACCUCCGUACGUUUCGGGCUCCUUCCUGGAAUAGUCUCAAUCCCGCGCUAAGGAGGAUUCCCCCCGCCCUCUGCGGGAUUGUUCUUUGGACCCCUGGGGAGCCCUAGCGGCGGCGCACCUCAGGAUAGUUCCCAUGGGCCAGGGGUCCAAGCCCAGUUCUGACCUUCCUGGGCUGCCACGUGUCUAGACCCAGGAUGGGGCCUCUGCACCUUUGCUUGCUGAGUACGGUGGAAUAACAAGAACAAACCCUAUUCAAGCCUGCUAAAUCUGGAAAAUAUCCCUACAUGCAGCCCCUAUUCAAGCCUGCUAAUACAGGAGCAGAUGUGCCAGCUAGGAUGAGUGAAAAGCUUUUGUGUUCCUUUUCAUUUGUUGAUUUUUGCCCUCCUAGCUUAGGUUCCAUUUUGUCUCAUGAUUUGAGGGGUGUCUAUUUCCACAUUUUUAGAUUGUAAUAUUUUAUACUCCCUCCGUCCCAAAAAUUUCGUCGCACUUAGAAAACUGUGUUUUUUAUGAAUGGUUCCAGCAUAGGUGAGUUGCUUACCAUUUUGUCCCUCGCCUAAGCUCUUCUUGUAAAUGCACUGGGAAUCCGGUAUUGAUGCUAAUUCAAAUUAAAAGCCUAAAGAAUUACUGGAGGUAGGACUAGAACUUUUGUUUUGUUUGCAUAUGUCUUGUGCGUGCUUUGCACGCUGAAGUUUCAACCAAAUUCCUUAUGAUUUUUCACUCCACACACAUAUUCAUAUGAACUUUUGAAGCACGUGAAUACUGAACAAGUGGGCUCAAAGGGCACACACUUCACUUGAUCAUUGUGGGGACCAAAAGGGCAAAAGAGUGAAAUUGAAUGAAAAGUCUUUACUAUAUUUAACAAGUGACAAAUAUUUUGGGACAGCCCAAAAAGGAAAGCAUGACACUUUCAAUGGGACGGAGGGAGUAUCAUUUAAUGACAUUAUUUUUCUUACCAAAAAAAAAAAAAAAAUUCAAGCUCAGUUGUGCAAACCAACAUUUUUAAACUCGGAUCGGGAAGUGAACUGAAAAACUUUCUAAUUCACAGCUCGACCAAUUUGACCCUAAUUCAAAGGUUUAAUAAUUUUUUAUUUAUUGUAGUAUUAAAAAAUUUUGAAUAAAUUUGGAAUAUUUAUUUUAGAAAAUAAAUAAUUAAGGAAAAUCAGUUAAACCUUUUGAUUUUUACCUGUUCAACCGGUUCUUGAUCGAAUUUGAUUGUUUCAAUUGACUCUUUGGGUCAAAAUUCAAAGACUGGUUUACCAAAAUUAGUUUGUCCAACAACCUAUCGCUCAUUGACGUUUGGCAUAUGAGAAAUUUCAGUUCUGCACUCUUGCAAUACCUCUAUGUAAAAUUACUAAAACACAGGAGAUUCCACUUAUUCUUUUUAGCGCUGUCCCCCGAAUUUUGUAAAACAAUUGGUACUGGACGAUAUCAAAAAAGUUUAUUUAUAAAAUUUUUCUUUUUCUUAUAAAAAAAAUUUCACAUCUGAUUUGAGUCUAAAUAGUAAAAAUCUUAUUAUGCCUCUCGUGUUGCCGGGCUCCACUGGCUGUAAUUGACAUUUUAGACGAGUUGACAAUGUUGUAUUAUACAACAUUCACAACUUUUUUUUGACAGCUUUAAUUUUGAGUGCAAAAGCAGUCUACAUGUGAAGUAGCAACACGUGUGCAACUUUGUUAGUCUAAUAGAUAUAUAUUCAAUUUUAACCCCUUCAUAUGUUGCAGGUAGCAACAAUUCAAAGAAUAGGCAUUAUGUUAAUCGUAGAGCUGGCAAAAAAGGCUAAAACUCAACAACCUGUCCAACCUGCUCAUUAAUUUUAAAGAUGGGUUGGAUCAAUUGGGUUAUGAUUUUAUUGGGUUAGGUAAGAAUAACUCAACUUAUUCAUUGGACGGGUUGGAUUUUUUAUUUGGGUACCUAAUACCCAACUUGUUUAAAAGUAAUUCAAACUAAUAAAUACAAGAUUUAAUACAUAUAUGCCCGACUAUUUACAUUUGGACAUGUGUUAAUAAAUCAUUAAUUAAUUUGUAUUCAAAAUUCUCAUAUAUAUAUAUAUAUAUAUAUUUUAAUCAAUUUUUUAAUUUUUAUUUAAAAGAAAAAAGAAUUUUGAAAUAAAAACUCAUGCUUAUUUUACUUUUAUAACCGUAGUUAAAUUUGUUCAACUUCUAUAAUAAUUUAUUAUGCCUUUUAAGAGUAUGUUGUUUUCCUCCCCUUUUUUCUUUUUUUUUUUUGUGGUAAAAAUGUCAGAAUAGUUUAUGAAUUCUCCUCUCAUUUAUUUCUUAAAAAGUUUGGGAUUUUCCUUAAUAAUUUUUUGGGGACCAAUACCAGUACUUUUUACAAGCAUAUAAUAUUUUAUGCUUUAUAUUGGAGCUGUAGUAAUUCUAAAAGAUUAAUAUGACCAUAGCAUGAAGUAUGAUCCUAGAUGAUUCUAAUUAAUUAGGUGAUGAAUUAUCUAACUGUAUCAAAUCAAUAAAAAAAUACCUUAUAAUAUAUCUUAUAUGUAUAUAGACCGUGAUAUUAACUUUGAAUCAAUAUAGUUGACUUGCAGAUUCUAUUCUGUUUUGAUUAAUUAUGGCAACUUGGGCAUGGUUAGUCCGAGAUUUCAUUUCGUCCGAAGCAAAUACCUCCAAUCUUCAACUUCAUAAGAAGCUUACAAUCCGCAAGACAAUUAAUUUUUCCUCUUAAUUAGCGAGUCCAAGAACCAAAAUGUAGUAAUGUCUCCAGUCAUUUAAUGGAAGAAAGCAAUUUGCAUAUUAUCCUCAGAAUGUAGUUCUGAUGCAUGGACCUUUCACAACAGUUUGCAAAAUUUCUAGAGUCAUGAAUCAUAAAAUUUUUGAGAAUAUAAGGACUAAAGUACAAACUUAUUUUCUAUAAUUUCAAAAUUAUUAUACAACAAAUUAUAUGUCUCUUACUUACAUUUUCAAGUAUAAUAUAAUCUAGCAUUCAAUAAUUUAAAUACAUAGAAUAUUACAAUUUACAAUAAAACAGAUAUGAAUGGUAAAAGUGGUAAUAAGUUGCGACAAAAAUAAGUUUCAAUCAAUUAAUAGUAUUAAAAUAGUAUAAAGUAAACAAUUAGCUAAUCUAUUUAAAUGUAUAAUUUAUUAUAUAAAAUUCACAAUGCAAGCAAUAUAAAAUUUUAUUCUAUUUAUGAUGUAUUUCCAAGGAACUUAAGAAGUGAGUGUGUGUUUGUGUUGUGAAAAUACAUUUAUGUAUGUGAAAAUGUGUUUAUAUGUGUGAAAAAAAUCUUUUUUGUGUAUUAAAAUGUAUGUGAAAAAGUUUAUGUAUUAAAAUGUAUUAAUUAAUUUGUUGGGUCAUAUUUGGGUCAUGGGUUUGAGAUAACCCAAUAUGACCCAACCCAAAAUCAACCCAAUCUAAAGUUGGACGGGUUGGGUAUAACCCAUUUAAGUGAAAACCCAAUAUUAACCUGCCCAACCGAUCCAAUUGCCAGGUAUAGUUAAUCGCAUCUAGAAUGUUUAUGUAUUUUAAAAAUUAUUUAAUUAGAGAUAAUAAAUUUCCAUGCAAAAUUUUAGUAUUUUUUAUUUAUCGUAGAAACUUUCUCAAAGAAAUUAGUUAAACAAAUAAGUUAUGUGAUUAUUAAUUAUCUAUCAUUGUAUAAAAUUAUUAUAUUCAAUUACUCAUAUAUAUAUAUAUAUUUAUAACAUUAAGUUACUUUAAUUUUUUAAAAUGAAAACAAGUCAAAUCAAGACAUAAAAGUUGCUAGAAGGAACCAGAUUGAUUUUGAUUGGUUAGUUGGAAGAAGAUUUGAAUGCUAACUAGUUAGGCUCAAUUAACCAAUUAAGACAAAAAAUUCUUUUUAAUUAGUUAUCCCACAUAAGAGAAAAAAAUUGAUUAAUUUUUAACCUUGCUUAUACACACGCAUAGAUACAUAUUAGAGUUCUGAGAUGGCAUCGAAUCUUUAUAAAGGAUUUGGCUGGUCCAGUCUUACACUGUUUGACCCUAACUUUCCCCUCUUAUGAUGAAGUAUCUUGCACGAUUAGCCUCGACAAAGGACAUUACUAGAUUUCUACGAAUGGCAUAGGAUCUUUCAAAGGAUUUGGCUUAGUCCAAUUUUAAACAUUUUUGGCCCUAACAUGGCCCUCUUACGAUUAAGGGCCCGCCUAGGGUCGUAGUUUAUUGAAAAGUAUUUCUCCCUUGGAGUUUUUAAUAAAAGUAUUUCUUAAGUGCUUUUAAAUAUAUUGUUUGAAAACAUAGCUUAAUAAGUGCUUUUUGUAUUGAAUAAUAUGUAAUUGGAAAAUUUUUAAAUGUAUUUAUCUCUUUAUUUAGUUUAUAAUAUAGGAUAAAAUGAUUAAAUUUAAUAUUUUAUUUUUUAAAUCACAAAAAAUAUUCUAAAAACUUCAAAUAUGAGCUUUUGCUAAAAAUACUUUUCACAUCAAAAACUCUAUUCCUAAUUUUAUGGGAUAAUGUUCACCAAAGGUUUUAAAAGUACUUUUAAUAUUUAAAAGUACUUUUUUUUAUCAAAAGCAUCGUAAUCUCAAACGAGACCUAAGUAUGUUGCAUGAUUAGCCUCGAUAACCUUUUGAAAAGGCAUUUGAAUUUAGAAAUCUACCAUAGCCAUUACGUUUUAGAGUGGGUAUUCUUAGAGAUACAGACUUCCUAAUUAUGAUUAGGAAUCUUUUAUUUUAUCAUGUCCUCAAAAUUAUAUCCCUUAAUAAUCCUAUCAAAUUAAAUACAUCUGAACCAUCACUUGCAAUAGUGUCUUCUCAUAACAAUUGCCAAGGACCCCAAUUUUUAACUACCGAGGAAAUAGAAAUAUGAAUGCCCACGCACAAUGUUCAAGCUAGUACAGUAGUACUGCUAUUUCAUAAUUCAUGUCCAAUUCAAUGGCCAGUUUAUUUUUUUCAUAGACAGAAGAAACACACACACACAAUUAGAUUAAAAAUGCAAUUGCCGGUUUAUGAGAAACCACUUUCUACAUUUUCACUGCCUAUCCCUGAUUGACGUUUGGCAUAUGAGAAAUUUUAGUCUUGGUAACCAUGCAACACCUAUGCGCUUGAUUGUUAGAGUUAUUUUUUAGAUAAUUUAUCCUCCCAUUAAAUUAAAUUAGCAAGUUAAAAUUUUUUUUUAAAAAGUACUCUCCUCUUUCUGUAAUGAAAAUAAUAAAAAAUUUAGAGUGUCUCUUCUCCUUUUUAUUAUCAAGGAAAAAAGUCAAAAUAUUAAUAUAUUUCUUCUUAGCAAUCUUAUUAAUAUUAAAAAAAAUAGAAAGAUAGGGGGGAGAGAGAGGGAGAGAGGUCAAAUUUUUUUUUUAAAAAAUACAAAUAAGAAAGAAUUUAAUAUUUUUAUUAUUUUAAAUUAUUUUAUUUUUUGUUUACCACCCAAUUCCAAUCUUAAUCAUAAUGAUGUUAAUGUAAUACGAUAAUAUUAUAUUUUUUCUUAUUUUCUUUCUUUACAAAAUAUAAUUUCCUCUAGAUUUUUCAGAUAAAUACACAUAUGUCAAUAAUAAUGUAUAUCUUAGUCGAGUCCCGUAAGGAUUGACCCGGAUACUCGCUCCGUCAGCACAAAAAAAAAAAAACAAUGAUGUAUAACUUAAUAUACAAAAAUAAUCGUACAUUUUCUUGAAAUAAGCAAGCUGAUCGCAAUUUUUUGCGUGCAAAAGCAGUGUACACUGUACAAGGAAAAUUGCAAUGCGUAUGGAACCUUCUUGGUCUGAUGGACACAUUUGAAAGGGUGGCAUGAGUGGAUCUCCCAAGUCCUAUCUUUCAAAGGAUUUGACUUCUUCGACCGACACUGUUUCGACCAUAGGUUGCCCCUCCUAGCCGACCAGCUUUGAUAC